AACGAACGCUGGCGGCGUGGAUUAGGCAUGCAAGUCGAGCGAGAAAAGGUCCGCAAGGGCCUGAGUAAAGCGGCGCAAGGGUGAGUAAUGCCUGGAUAACCUACCCCUGAGAGGGGGAUAACGUCUGGAAACGGACGCUAAUACCCCAUAAGACCACGGGCCUACGAGUCCGUGCUUAAAGAUAGCCUCUGUUUACAAGCCUUCGCUCAGGGAGGGGUUCAGGUCCUACUAGCUAGUUGGCGGGGUAACGGCCCACCAAGGCGACGAUGGGUAGCCGGGCUGAGAGGUUGUUCGGCCACACUGGGACUGAGACACUGCCCAGACUCCUUCGGGAGGCUGCAGUCGAGGAUUUUUUGCUAAUGCGCGCAAGCGUGACAGAGCGACGCCGCGUGGACGAUGAAGGCCUUCGGGUUGUAAAGUCCAAUCUCGGGGAAAGAAGAGCCGGAGGUUAACAGCCUGCCGGCUUGACGUUAUCCGGUUGAAGCGCCGGCUAAACUCGUGCCAGCAGCCGCGGUAAAACCG
rnacentral:rRNA from 1 species